UACAGAGGGGGCAAGCGUUAUUCGGAAUUAUUGGGCGUAAAGGGCGCGUAGGCGGCUUGGCAAGUGGCUGGUGAAAUCCCUCGGCUUAACCGAGGAACUGCCAUCCAGACUGCUUUGCUUGAGGCCGGGAGAGGUGAGUGGAAUUCCCAGUGUAGAGGUGAAAUUCGUAGAUAUUGGGAAGAACACCGAUGGCGAAGGCAGCCAUCUGGACCGACACUGACGCUGAGGCGCGAAAGCGUGGGGAGCAAACAGG
rnacentral:rRNA from 1 species